UCCUUCUUAAGUUGUUUCUUAAGCUUAAGGUCGGUGCAGAGGUCUACUCCUACUGUGGUGAUGAAGCUUAUUAUAUCCCCAUAAGUUAAAAUUCCGUAGGGGAUUUUCCCUUCGAAUCUAUCUUUGAUUUUGGUCCUAACCUUAUCUGCGAACAGAGGAGGAAGACCACUAAUGAAACGUUCUUUCCAGAAGUCAUUGUUGCAGUCAGGUCUAAUCAUGAUUUUGACCAAGAAGGUGUCUUUAUACCAUCUAAAGUCAGCUAAAUCUUUGCAGGUGAGAUUAUUAAGGAUUUCUAAACUCCUAUCUUGAAAUAAUUUGGGUUCACC
rnacentral:lncRNA from 1 species